rnacentral:lncRNA from 1 species
CGGUGCACUAAUACGACUUUAAAGAGGAGGGGGUUGGUGGGCCUUUUACCCCUUCGAGGGCGAGGCCGCUGCAUAAGCUUGGACCUUUCUCAGAAGACAAAAUUGGUCACUGCCAAGCUGCCGGAAGAUCCCACAAGCAACAGAAAAGAUAAAAUGAAGGGAUAGAACGUGAGAAGUGUUUAACGGCUAACUGCUCCCACCAUGCAUGUU